UACGUAGGGUGCGAGCGUUGUCCGGAAUUAUUGGGCGUAAAGGGCUCGUAGGCGGUCUGUCGCGUCGGGAGUGAAAAACUCAGGGCUUAACCCUGAGCCUGCUUCCGAUACGGGCAGACUAGAGGUAUGCAGGGGAGAACGGAAUUCCUGGUGUAGCGGUGAAAUGCGCAGAAUAUCAGGAGGAACACCGGUGGCGAAGGGCGGUUCUCUGGGCGAUUG
rnacentral:rRNA from 1 species